rnacentral:rRNA from 1 species
UACGUAGGUGGCGAGCGUUGUCCGGAAUUACUGGGUGUAAAGCGCGUGUAGGCGGGAGGCCAAGUCUGUGGUGAAAUCGCUCGGCUUAACUGGGCGGGGUCCAUGGAAACUGGUCACCUGGAGGUCGGUAGAGGCAAGUGGAAUUCCCGGUGUAGUGGUGAAAUGCGUAGAGAUGUGGAGGAACACCGAUGGCGAAGGCAGCCUCCUGGGCCAGCACUGACGCUCAUGCACGAAAGCGUGGGGAGCAAACAGG